rnacentral:rRNA from 1 species
UACGUAGGCAGCGAGCGUUGUUCGGAGUUACUGGGCGUAAAGAGUGCGUAGGCGGUGGCCUAAGUCUGGUGUGAAAUCUCCCGGCUCAACUGGGAGGGUGCGCCGGAGACUGGGUUGCUCGAGUGUGGGAGAGGCAAGCGGAAUUCCUGGUGUAGCGGUGAAAUGCGUAGAUAUCAGGAGGAACACCUGCGGUGUAGACGGCUUGCUGGACCAUGACUGACGCUGAGGCACGAAAGCGUGGGGAGCAAACAGG